CUGGGGCUGUAGCCGGUCCCAAGGGUAUGGCUGUUCGCCAUUUAAAGUGGUACGCGAGCUGGGUUCAGAACGUCGUGAGACAGUUCGGUCCCUAUCUGUCGUGGGCGUUGGAGGUUUGAGAGGGGCUGCUCCUAGUACGAGAGGACCGGAGUGGACGAAUCCCUGGUGUUCCGGUUGUCACGCCAGUGGCACUGCCGGGUAGCUACAUUCGGAAGCGAUAACCGCUGAAAGCAUCUAAGCGGGAAGCGCGCCUCAAGAUGAGACCUCCCGAGCCACAAGGCUCCUGAAGGAACCAUGAAGACUACGUGGUUGAUAGGGUGGGUGUGUAUCGCAGCAAUGCCGAGCUAACCACUACUAAUGAUCCGUGCGGCUUGACCAU
rnacentral:ncRNA from 1 species